rnacentral:lncRNA from 1 species
AAUUCCAGUUCUCCUUUUUUCAGAAAUGAGGUAUAGGGGAGAGAAACACGUACUUUGAAAGAAUUGACCCAGCUGAAUUGGAAAAUGUGGGAAGGGGAUGGGGAAGAGGCUGCUCCACCUGAGAUCUGGCUCCAGGACUUACAGCAAGGGGAACUUGGGCAAGUUACAGACUGUCUAUGCCUCAGUUUCUUUAUCAGCAAAACAGAAUCAUCCCAUAAACUAUAAGGUCGAUGGUAUCAGCGGGUCCCCAAACUGACUGCACAUCUGAGUCAUGUUAACAAACACAUUCCAGGCCCCACCUGAGCCCUCUGAAUCAGAAUCCCUGUAAGGAGGAUGAUGAACUUGAAUUUGCACUGACUUUCCCAGCUGUUUCUUACUCUGAUCAACUUGGGGGUAGGACCCAUUGAGCUGCAUCACAUCAUUCCAAAGCCAAAACACAACAGCAGGACAAGAAUAUUUUCAAGGCAGUCUCUAAAGCAGAGGAGAAACUGUUGAGGGAACUUAGAAGUAAAGGAGAUCUGGCUUGCUGGGCUCCAUUUGAACUUUGA